UUUGGUGGCAACGGCGGAGGGGUUCCACGCGUACCCAUCCCGAACACGACCGUUAAGACCUCCAGCGCCGAUGGUACUUGGACCGCAGGGUCCUGGGAGAGUAGGACGUCGCCAAGC
rnacentral:rRNA from 1 species